rnacentral:sRNA from 1 species
CGACAGGGGGGUCCCUCCCCGUAAGGCCG